CCUACGGGUGGCAGCAGUGAGGAAUAUUGGUCAAUGGCCGUAAGGCUGAACCAGCCAAGUAGCGUGAGGGAAGACUGCCCUAUGGUUUGUAAACUUCUUUUAUGCGGGGAUAAAGGUGUCCACGUGCGGAUGUUUGCAGGUACCGCAUGAAUAAGGACCGGCUAAUUCCGUGCCAGCAGCCGCGGUAAUACGGAAGGUCCGGGCGUUAUCCGGAUUUAUUGGGUUUAAAGGGAGAGUAGGCCGUUCUUUAAGCGUGCCGUGAAAUUUUGUGGCUCAACCAUGAGAGUGCGGCGCGAACUGGAGACCGUGAGUGCGCGGAGGGCAGGCGGAAUUCAUGGUGUAGCGGUGAAAUGCUUAGAUGUAACGAAGAACCCCGAUUGCGGAGGCAGCCAGCCGCAGCGUUACUGACGCUGAGGCUCGAAAGCGCGGGUAUCGAACAGGAUUAGAUACCCGAGUAGUC
rnacentral:rRNA from 1 species